rnacentral:rRNA from 1 species
CAGCUCCUACGGGGCGCAGCAGUGAGGAAUAUUGGUCAAUGGGCGCGAGCCUAAACCAGCCAAGUAGCGUGAAGGAUGACUGCCCUACGGGUUGUAAACUUCUUUUAUAAAGGAAUAAAGUGAGGCACGUGUGCCUUUUUGUAUGUAUUUUAUGAAUAAGGAUCGGCUAACUCCGUGCCAGCAGCCGCGGUAAUACGGAGGAUCCGAGCGUUAUCCGGAUUUAUUGGGUUUAAAGGGAGCGUAGAUGGGUGGUUAAGUCAGUGGUGAAAGUUUGCGGCUCACCCGUAAAAUUGCA